CUACGGGGUGCUCCAGUGGGGAAUAUUGGACAAUGGGGGAAACCCUGAUCCAGCAAUGCCGCGUGUGUGAAGAAGGCCUGCGGGUUGUAAAGCACUUUCGGUUGGGAGGACUGCUUCUAGCACUAAUAUUGUUGGAAGUUGACGUUACCUUCAGAAGAAGCACCGGCUAACUCCGUGCCAGCAGCCGCGGUAAUACGGAAGGUGCAAGCGUUAAUCGGAAUUACUGGGCGUAAAGCGCGCGUAGGCGGCUAGAUCAGUCGGGUGUGAAAGCCCCGGGCUUAACCUGGGAACUGCAUCCGAUACUGUCUAGCUUGAGUACAGGAGAGGAGAGUGGAAUUCCACAUGUAGCGGUGAAAUGCGUAGAUAUGUGGAGGAACACCAAUGGCGAAGGCAGCUCUCUGGCCUGAUACUGACGCUGAGGUGCGAAAGCGUGGGGAGCAAACAGGAUUAGAUACCCGGGUAGUC
rnacentral:rRNA from 1 species